rnacentral:lncRNA from 1 species
UAAUCUAAGGUGGCAGCACAUCGCAUCUUCCCUAAGCAUGGACUAUCUUAUAUUUACUUAGUGAUCAUGAAGAACAGUUGUAUAAACUUCACAUUUAAAAUCACAGAAAUUAAGCAUGAAAUAAAAGAAGAUAUUCAUUAAAAACAAUAAGUUCAUACAACCCCAAGAAUAUAAAUAAAAAAUAAAUAAAUACAAAUUUCUUAUCCUUUUGUUAGGGCUGCAUCCAGCCCUAAAGAAGAGCUUAAGCUUCCAUGCAGUGAUGGACGGCAGCAGUAGCACAGCAGCAGGCUCCCAUUUCUAUCACGAUCGGCUUCCUCUGCCUCAGCACUUCAUUUUUUUUCUUUCUUUUGAGAAGGCAUUCCCAAAAAAACCCAAACUCUUCUCUCUCCUGUUAUUUCAUCUUCUUCCGUGGGAAUUUCACCUGUGAACCCGAGCUCUUCUUCUCCCGGUGGGGACUUAGCCUCUAAGGAGAUUGUGAAGAUAUGUGGAACCCCUCCCGGUGGUGAAUGAAUGCCUUAGUCUUCACGUCUGACUCCUUAAAUAGACUGCCCACUUCUCUUUCCUCCCCUCUUUCGAAUCAAGGAUAAGGAUGCAGAGGAUGAUGUGGAUGCUGGAACGGUGCUCACGGUUGAGGAUGGAUGUGAUCCGAAAUAUUGGUGAUGUGGCUUCAACGCAGAGGCGACGCGGCUGAAUAUCUUGGACGCUGAAACGUGGACGUGAGAGGAUCUCGGAAGUUGGGAUACCUGGGAGCGCAUGGAAUUAGCGGAAGAAAGUGAUCCAUGGGAAGCUUCAUCACGAACAUUGAAAGGAUUUUGGUUCUAUUCAGAAGGAGGGGAUAAGGAUGACUUUGAUUUUCAGUUGGCUGGGAUUAAUCUAGAAGACGGCUGGGAGAUUGCUGGGUUCGAN